AUACGUAGGGGACAAGCGUUAUCCGGAUUUACUGGGUGUAAAGGGAGCGCAGACGGCAGUGCAAGUCUGAAGUGGAAGCCCGGGGCUCAACCCCGGGACUGCUUUGGAAACUGUUCCGCUAGAGUACUGGAAGGGCAAGCGGAAUUCCUGGUGUAGCGGUGAAAUGCGUAGAUAUCAGGAGGAACACCGGUGGCGAAGGCGGCUUGCUGGACAGCAACUGACGUUGAGGCUCGAGAGCGUGGGGAGCAAACAGGAUUAGAUACCCUGGUAGUCCACGCUGUAAACGAUGAAUACUAGGUGUUGGGAGACUAAGUCUUUCAGUGCCGUCGCAAACGCAGUAAGUAUUCCACCUGGGGAGUACGUUCGCAAGAAUGAAACUCAAAGGAAUUGACGGGG
rnacentral:rRNA from 1 species